GACGAACGCUGGCGGCGUGCUUAACACAUGCAAGUCGAACGGAAAGGCCCUGCUUUUGUGGGGUGCUCGAGUGGCGAACGGGUGAGUAACACGUGAGUAACCUGCCCUUGACUUUGGGAUAACUUCAGGAAACUGGGGCUAAUACCGGAUAGGAGCUCCUGCUGCAUGGUGGGGGUUGGAAAGUUUCGGCGGUUGGGGAUGGACUUGGGGCUUAUCAGCUUGUUGGUGGGGUAGUGGCUUACCAAGGCUUUGACGGGUAGCCGGCCUGAGAGGGUGACCGGCCACAUUGGGACUGAGGUACGGCCCAGACUCCUACGGGAGGCAGCAGUGGGGAAUAUUGCACAAUGGGCGGAAGCCUGAUGCAGCGACGCCGCGUGCGGGAUGACGGCCUUCGGGUUGUAAACCGCUUUCGCCUGUGACGAAGCGUGAGUGACGGUAAUGGGUAAAGAAGCACCGGCUAACUACGUG
rnacentral:rRNA from 1 species